GACUUCAACUGAAAAAGUCGUCUAUAACAAAGUUGUAUAAUCCAUCUAGAUCUACAAUUUUCAUUUUGGUCAUUUCUUCAUCGAUAAAUUAAUAGUAACAUUGUUCACAAAUUUUACAUAUCUCCCAUAUGGUUUCAUAAAUUAUAAGAGAGAUGUGUAAAUUUUGUGAACAAUGUUACUAUCACUUUAUCGGAUGAAGAAAUGACCAAAAUAAAAGUUAUAUAUUUUGAUGAGUUAUACAACUUUGUUGUUGAUAACUUUUUCAGUUGAAAUC
rnacentral:pre_miRNA from 1 species